rnacentral:rRNA from 1 species
GACGAACGCUGGCGGCGUGCCUAAUACAUGCAAGUGGAACGCAUUUUAAUCACCGUAGCUUGCUACACCGAAUAAAAUGAGUCGCGAACGGGUGAGUAACGCGUAGGUAACCUACCUUCUAGCGGGGGACAACUAUUGGAAACGAUAGCUAAUACCGCAUAAGACAUUAUAUCGCAUGAUAGGAUGUUAAAAGAUACAAUUGUAUCACUAGGAGAUGGACCUGCGUUGUAUUAGCUAGUUGGUGAGGUAACGGCUCACCAAGGCAGCGAUACAUAGCCGACCUGAGAGGGUGAUCGGCCACACUGGGACUGAGACACGGCCCAGACUCCUACGGGAGGCAGCAGUAGGGAAUCUUCGGCAAUGGGGGCAACCCUGACCGAGCAACGCCGCGUGAGUGAAGAAGGUUUUCGGAUCGUAAAGCUCUGUUGUAAGCGAAGAAGAGUGUUAGGAGUGGAAAAUCUAACACAUGACGGUAGCUUACCAGAAAGGGACGGCUAACUACGUGCCAGCAGCCGCGGUAAUACGUAGGUCUCGAGCGUUGUCCGGAUUUAUUGGGCGUAAAGCGAGCGCAGGCGGUUAGAUAAGUCAGAAGUUAAAGGCUGUGGCUCAACCAUAGUAUGCUUUUGAAACUGUUUAACUUGAGUGCAGAAGGGGAGAGUGGAAUUCCAUGUGUAGCGGUGAAAUGCGUAGAUAUAUGGAGGAACACCGGUGGCGAAAGCGGCUCUCUGGUCUGUGACUGACGCUGAGGCUCGAAAGCGUGGGUAGCGAACAGGAUUAGAUACCCUGGUAGUCCACGCCGUAAACGAUGAGUGCUAGGUGUUAGACCCUUUCCGGGGUUUAGUGCCGUAGCUAACGCAUUAAGCACUCCGCCUGGGGAGUACGACCGCAAGGUUGAAACUCAAAGGAAUUGACGGGGGCCCGCACAAGCGGUGGAGCAUGUGGUUUAAUUCGAAGCAACGCGAAGAACCUUACCAGGUCUUGACAUCCCUCUGACCAGUCUAGAGAUAGGCUUUCCCUUUUGGGCAGAGGAGACAGGUGGUGCAUGGUUGUCGUCAGCUCGUGUCGUGAGAUGUUGGGUUAAGUCCCGCAACGAGCGCAACCCUUAUUGUUAGUUGCCAUCAUUGAGUUGGGCACUCUAGCGAGACUGCCGGUAAUAAACCGGAGGAAGGUGGGGAUGACGUCAAAUCAUCAUGCCCCUUAUGACCUGGGCUACACACGUGCUACAAUGGUUGGUACAACGAGUCGCAAGCCGGUGACGGCAAGCUAAUCUCUUAAAGCCAAUCUCAGUUCGGAUUGUAGGCUGCAACUCGCCUACAUGAAGUCGGAAUCGCUAGUAAUCGCGGAUCAGCACGCCGCGGUGAAUACGUUCCCGGGCCU